rnacentral:misc_RNA from 1 species
UAAUCUCACUAUGAUGGACUUUAUUGGUCUCUUCGUAUGUGGACUUGGAUGUUGCCGUGGAUGUCUACGGCUCGUCUGAAAUGCUUCAGUGUACCCUGCAGAGUGGCGUAUUCGGUGUGAUACAUCUUCACCGGAGUUGAUCCUUUACGGGUCGCGUCUGUAAUGUGUGGCUCUAUGCUUCCAACCGUCUCUGAUGGGACAAUCUCUGACAAU